UUCGAAUGACAUUAAAAUUUAUAAAUAGACAGAAAAGAAAUAACCAUACGUAUUCAUUUAUUAUUGAUCGAUUAAUUGAUAUACGCUGUGAUGCAAUUCAGCGCAGUUUACCGCGAAGCUUCAAGAAUCUUCUUUAACAGCACAAAUUACGACAUCCCAAAAAGGACACAAAAAUUUUCAACAUCAAACACCAAACGUCUCGUAACGAAAGCAAGUCAUAUCUUUAAAAGACGAGUUCUGACGGAGAUGAUUACGACUUCGUAGUAGUCGUUGAAUUUGUAUCUCGGGGACGGCCAGGGCAAAGAAAAAUAGACCUCGUUCCAUCAAAAUGGAUUGAAUAUGAUAAGAAAAAAGAGAAACUCAUGAUUAAUUUAUGCCAUCACCUUAUGGAAAAGAAGAUUUCCAAUUAAUAACAGAUUUAGCUGAUGCAGAAGAUUGGGUCUCCUACAGCAUUAAAGUGAAAACUAAAACAAAAACUUAUGCCGAUGGGAUAAGAAACUUAAAAAGUUGGAAGAGCAACUGUAUGCAUUCACCGAGAGUGCAGCUGAUCCAAUAACAGUGGCCGCUGCAAUUGAAGAAUCAUUAAAAAUCGAAAAUUUGAAAAGAAAAGUAGACGAUUUAAAAGAGAUGAUGACUGUGUCACAAAUUCCGGACAAAGAUUCCGCAGACGCAAAAAAAAAAUGUGAAAACGUCUGUUUCGUAAAAUAAUUAUUUUAAAAAUGUGCAUUACUCAUCAAAACUACAUAUUAAAGCAGUUUUAAAAUUUAU